rnacentral:tRNA from 1 species
GGCCGAGUGGCGGAAUUGGCAGACGCACGGGACUUAAAAUCCCGGGUUCCGAUUGGAGCGUACGGGUUCGAGUCCCGUCUCGGCUA